AAAUUGAAGAGUUUGAUCAUGGCUCAGAUUGAACGCUGGCGGCAGGCCUAACACAUGCAAGUCGAACGGUAACAGGAAGCAGCUUGCUGCUUUGCUGACGAGUGGCGGACGGGUGAGUAAUGUCUGGGAAACUGCCUGAUGGAGGGGGAUAACUACUGGAAACGGUGGCUAAUACCGCAUAACGUCGCAAGACCAAAGAGGGGGACCUUCGGGCCUCUUGCCAUCAGAUGUGCCCAGAUGGGAUUAGCUUGUUGGUGAGGUAACGGCUCACCAAGGCGACGAUCCCUAGCUGGUCUGAGAGGAUGACCAGCCACACUGGAACUGAGACACGGUCCAGACUCCUACGGGAGGCAGCAGUGGGGAAUAUUGCACAAUGGGCGCAAGCCUGAUGCAGCCAUGCCGCGUGUAUGAAGAAGGCCUUCGGGUUGUAAAGUACUUUCAGCGGGGAGGAAGGUGUUGUGGUUAAUAACCACAGCAAUUGACGUUACCCGCAGAAGAAGCACCGGCUAACUCCGUGCCAGCAGCCGCGGUAAUACGGAGGGUGCAAGCGUUAAUCGGAAUUACUGGGCGUAAAGCGCACGCAGGCGGUCUGUCAAGUCGGAUGUGAAAUCCCCGGGCUCAACCUGGGAACUGCAUUCGAAACUGGCAGGCUUGAGUCUUGUAGAGGGGGGUAGAAUUCCAGGUGUAGCGGUGAAAUGCGUAGAGAUCUGGAGGAAUACCGGUGGCGAAGGCGGCCCCCUGGACAAAGACUGACGCUCAGGUGCGAAAGCGUGGGGAGCAAACAGGAUUAGAUACCCUGGUAGUCCACGCCGUAAACGAUGUCUACUUGGAGGUUGUGCCCUUGAGGCGUGGCUUCCGGAGCUAACGCGUUAAGUAGACCGCCUGGGGAGUACGGCCGCAAGGUUAAAACUCAAAUGAAUUGACGGGGGCCCGCACAAGCGGUGGAGCAUGUGGUUUAAUUCGAUGCAACGCGAAGAACCUUACCUGGUCUUGACAUCCACAGAA
rnacentral:rRNA from 2 species